AACGAACGCUGGCGGCAGGCCUAACACAUGCAAGUCGAACGAUAAGCCACCUUCGGGUGGUGGAAAGUGGCGCACGGGUGAGUAACGCGUGGGAACCUACCCAGGGGUACGGAAUAACUCAGGGAAACUUGAGCUAAUACCGUAUACACCUUACGAGGGAAAGAUUUAUCGCCCCUGGACGGGCCCGCGUCGGAUUAGCUAGUUGGUGAGGUAAUGGCUCACCAAGGCUACGAUCCGUAGCUGGUCUGAGAGGAUGAUCAGCCACACUGGAACUGAGACACGGUCCAGACUCCUACGGGAGGCAGCAGUGGGGAAUAUUGGGCAAUGGGCGCAAGCCUGACCCAGCCAUGCCGCGUGGGUGAAGAAGGUCUUAGGAUUGUAAAGCCUUUCAGCAGGGAAGAUGAUGACGGUACCUGCAGAAGAAGCCCCGGCUAACUCCGUG
rnacentral:rRNA from 1 species